rnacentral:rRNA from 1 species
UACGGGGGGGGCAAGCGUUGUUCGGAAUUACUGGGCGUAAAGGGCUCGUAGGUGGCCAACUAAGUCAGACGUGAAAUCCCUCGGCUUAACCGGGGAACUGCGUCUGAUACUGGAUGGCUUGAGAUUGGGAGAGGGAUGCGGAAUUCCAGGUGUAGCGGUGAAAUGCGUAGAUAUCUGGAGGAAUACCGGUGGCGAAGGCGGCAUCCUGGACCAACACUGACGCUGAUGCGCGAAAGCUAGGGGAGCAAACGGG